rnacentral:tRNA from 1 species
GGGGUUGUGGCUCAGCAGUAGAGCACUCGCCUAGCAUGUGAGAGGUGCUAGGUUAGAUCCUCAGCACCA